GGUGUUCCUGAUCGCCAGAAAACCGCUUCAGGCGGAACGAGCCUGACUCGGCGCGUGCUGCCUUGUCUGGCGACCCACGGCGCUCGGAAGGAAUUGCCUCCGAGCCGAGCGUCGUAGAGAAUUUGACUAACCCCGGGUUCGCUG
rnacentral:misc_RNA from 1 species